rnacentral:rRNA from 1 species
UUUGAGAGUUUGAUCCUGGCUCAGGAUAAACGCUGGCGGCGUGCCUUAGGCAUGCAAGUCGAGCGCUCUCCGAUGCAAAUCGGGGAGAGCGGCAGACGGGUGAGUAAUGGUAGGGAAUCUACCCCAAAGUGAAGGAUAGCUCGCCGAAAGGCGGGGUAAUCCUGCAUAGUCCCCGAUUUAAUCGGGGUAAAGGGCUUAACUGCCCGCUUUGGGAGGAGCCCUAUUCCUAUCAGCUUGUUGGUAGGGUAAUAGCCUACCAAGGCUAUGACGGGUAGGGGGCGUGAGAGCGUGUACCCCCACAAUUGCACUUAGACACGGGCAAUACACCUACGGGUGGCAGCAACCGGGAAUCGUCGGCAAUGGGCGAAAGCCUGACCGCGCGACGCCGCGUGAAGGAUGAAGCCCUUCGGGGUGUAAACUUCUUUUAUCCCCGCACAUGCGGGGUUGAAUAAGCGUCUACUAACUACGUGCCAGCAGUCGCGGUAAUACGUAGGACGCAAGCGUUAUCCGGAUUUAUUGGGCGUAAAGGGUCGCGUAGGCGGUCCGAUGCAUCUCAUCUUAAAUAGCUCCGCUUAACGGAGUCCCGGAUGAGAGAUGAUCGGACUUGAGGUUUGGAGGGGUUUCUGGAACUUCCGGUGUAGCAGUGAAAUGCGUUGAUAUCGGAAGGAACACCGAGAGCGUAGGCAGGAAACCAAUCAAUACCUGACGCUGAGGCACGAAAGCUAGGGGAGAGAAGCAGAUUAGAGACCUGCGUAUUCCUAGCUGUAAACGCAUGAGUGCUAGUUGUCCGGCCGUAAGGCUGGAUGACGCAAGUUAACACGUUAAGCACUCCGCCUGGGGAGUACGGCCGCAAGGCUAAAACUCAAAGGAAUUGGCGGGGACCCGCACAACCGGUGGAGCAUGUGGUUUAAUUCGAGACGAAGCGAAAGACCUCACCACGGUUUGACAUGCUACCGUUUAAUCUGAUAGAAACAUCGGAAGAUCCCGAUUUAUCGGGAUGGUAGCAAAGCUGCUGCAUGGCUGUCGUCAGCUCGUUCCGUGAGGAGUUCCCUUAAGUGGGGUAACGAGCGCAACCCUUGCCGUUUGUUAAAUAUUCAAACGGGACGGUCCCGACGUACGUCGGGAAGGAAGGUGAGGACGACGUCAAGUCAGCACGGCGCUUAUGCCGUGGGCGACACACAUCCUACAAUGGCGAAAAACAGCGGGUUGCAACCUCGUGAGGGGAAGCAAAUCCCUGAAAUUUCGUCUCAGUUGGGAUUGGAGUCUGCAACUCGACUCCAUGAACGCGGAAUCGGUAGUAAUCGCGGAUCAGCAGGUCGCGGUGAAUACGUUCUCGGGUCUUGCACACACCGCCCGUCAAGCCAACAAAGUCGUGGGCGGCCGAAGCUCCCCCGCAUCGCGGGGGAAUUAAGCCGAAUUCGGCGAUGGGGACUAAGUCGUAACAAGGUAUCUGUACUGGAAGGUGCAGAUGGAUCACCUCCUUUCU